GAAAACAAAUUUUAUUCAAGUUUGACCGAAGUUUGCUCCAUUUUUUUGGGGCCAAAAUUAGCUUGCUAAUUUAACGUUGAGUAGCUCCAUAUACACCCACAUGAAAGCCAAAUACAUCCAAAUUACAUUUUUAUUUUUCUUAUUAUUAUUAUUAUUAAAAUUUUGAAUUUAUUUUUCUGCUUGUUUUACUCGGCAGUUGCACAGCAAUGGUGGGGGUUUUAAGACGUGGGGGUGGUUUUUGAAAAUUGUCUGACUAACAAAAACGAAGACAAAAUAAAAAAUGGACUGCGAAUUGAAAUUUUUUUGAGGAGAAUACAUAAGUCUGAACCCAAUGCCCUACAAAUUACAUUUGAGUUCUGUGCUGCUUUUUCUGAAGAAUUUUCCGAGAAUUGGACUGCGAAUCACUUUUCUCAGAAAAUGAGAUUGACUUGCUUAUUAUAGCGUUUGAUAUGGGUGCUUAUGGACCCAUUACUAGUGCGGCAGUUACGGCCGUGGGUCGGGAUGUUUAAUGGUUGGGACCCGAAUGCUUGAGCCUACUGCUCCUGAUUUUUGUGCAUGAGCUGCUUGAUGAUUCAGGAAUCAGUAGCUUGUGGAGUUUCAUGUCAAGGGGUAGGAUGUAGGGGCUGUGCAGGACGUGGUGAUAUAUGAGAUUCAUGAGAAAAAAACUUCUAUUUCUGCAUCAUUCUGAUGGGAUCCUACGAGUAUGGAAUCUUUCAUGUUAUAGCAAAGUCUUUAGUCUUAUCAUAAAUGUUCCAACAUUUGCAGGCAAUUCUCACAUUUAACCCCAAUUUUCUCUCUAUUUUUCUUUUUAUGUAGUCCUAUAUGUAUUUUUAUUUCUAUUGCCUUGUAUCUAUUAUCAGUAGCUCUAAGCACAAACAUAUGGAAAAAUAGAAAAGAGAUAUGCCAACAGAUCCUCUGUAACAAAAAGUGUUAGCAUCCUAAGUGAUUCAAUGUGUAUAUAAAUAUAUGUAUAUAUCUGCCUUAUUACUAGAAUUCUAAAACACUUGAAGACUAGAUAGAAAGUUUGAAUGGAAUUGAAAUGCAUUGAUUCUGAUGCCAACAAGAUACGUCCCAAGCUAGAAAGCCCUAUAGCUAGUGCUUAGAUAGGCUACAGUAGGCAUGAAGGAAGGUGAUUAAAAGCCAGCUCUUUUCUCUGCUUAAUGCAUAAGUGCCCUCACAUGUUUGUCCAAUGGUUUCUUAUAUUUUGUACUUUUAGGAGCUGCAUGAGUAAGGUUAUGGUUGGGAGAAGCUGCAUACGUUUCAAGUAUAAUUCCUUUGGUAGUUUUGUGUAGACAUACUGUUGUAUGCACUUCCUAAAUUGGUGUUAAAUUUUUUUUGAAAGGAAAGUUUUGUUGAAAAACAUGUUUACCUUAUUGUUUAUUCUCUUAUAUUUUCAUAUGUGAUAGUCUUUUAUCUACAUACCCUUACACUAUUCUGAACAGUUAUCAUUAAAUUUAAUUUUAGUUGGUACGUGUUAGAAAUGGUGAUUUUUUAAAAUGAAUAUGUAGUGAGGUAUAUAGAAUUAUAAGAAUUUAUAGUUAACUGCCUUUGAAAGUUAACAGUAAGCACAGUGAAUCUUGGUUUAGACAUUUUUGUCAUGUUUUUCUGUAAAGUUAACAGUAAGCAGGGUGAAUCUUAGUUUAGACAUUUUCAUAAUGUUUUUCUGUUUUUUAGUCUGUCAACUUUAUAUUUGGAAUGGUCCAAUAGUAAUAAUUUUGGAGUUGACAUGAAGUUUUCACUGUUAUAGCAUUGAAAAUAAAUCUUGUUUAAAAUUAUUAGCAAGCAGGAGCAAACAAAAUCAAACAAGGUAAAUAAGAAUGUAAACAAGAAAAGAAUGCGCUUUAACAUAUGUACCAUAACCCCAAAAGUGGUUCGCUUCCACCUUCUCUUAAGAUGUUUCACUUUCUGCCUUAGUUUAGGGCCUUUGCCCUUGGUCUCGAUUUGUGAAAUAUUGAAUGGUUGUUGAACCCUGUAAAUGUGAAGUGCAAAGUCAGAUACUAAAUUUGAGACUGCACUAGUUUUAUAAGUUCUUGAGGGAGAACAAUGUGAAUGAAAAAUUGCGUUGAAAUGACUAAUAAAAUGAUAGUUUGUUCAUGGUUAGAUAUGGUGGGAAGAGGUCUUGAAUUCCAUCAUAGGAUUUCGUUCUCUGGAGAAAUCUACAUUUUUAUGCUUUAAUUGAGUUUUAUGUGUCCCUUAAUUCUAUUUUUAUUUAUUUUUGUUCUUUUGAUACUUUAUUUGCUUAUAUGUGCAUUUGUGUAUUGAGUGUGGCUGUUGGGUGGGAGGGGUUCUUUUUAAUUUUAUUUUCUAUCGUCCAUGCUACUUGUUAGGUGGUCUUUUCAAUGAAAGGAAGAAAAUAUGUGGUAGGGUAUAUUUUAAAUUAUCAAAACAUGAGCUGAUGUUUCUUGUAUGUGUAAUAACUAAUUAGUGACACCAGCAUAAGUCAUGCUGUUACUCUUUGCGGCAAGAUUGAUUAAUUUCUUUUUCAAAUUAUGUAGAAAUUAGCUCGGAGAUAAUUUAUUUGUGUUGCAUUAAGUAUAGUAUGGAGGACAAGAUUGCUUUACUGUUGGAUCGUUGUAUCCUCAUUAGGGUGAGAUAAAUAAUUGGGUUAUUCUCUAAUUGCUUUUCCAUGAGUUCAGUUUUGUAUAGUACAGAAGUCAAUAUGUAAGUUUCUUCAUGCCUGUAACUUUUUUUGAUGGUCCAUGAUCUAACCAUGGUGACAAAUUGAACCUCUCCCUCAUAUGCAUUUUUUUCAUCCUCACAUACUAUGGUGCACUUAUUUUUCUUUUUGAAUAUAAAUUUACUCAAGAGUAAAAUGAUGAGGAGAGAUUAUUGGCUGUAUGACGAUAUUAUGUUGUUCAUUUAUUGUGACGACUGCAAUGAUUUGUGUCUUCUAAGUGUUUAAUAGGUUAUAAUUUGUUGGCAUGUAUGCUUUUCUUUUUCUUUUUUCUUUAAAAUUAUGAAAUGUGCAUGCUUAGAUACAACUUUUUUUUUUUUUUUUUUUAAAAAAAAUAUAUAAAACUUUACUUUAUCAAUAAAAGGAAAUAUUACAUGGUCAACAGAUUCCCAGUGCAUCUCGCUCUUGUUCUCACCAGCUCUCUGUCUUGAUGUGCAUACCAGGAAACAUGAAUAUUUGUACUUAACCUAACUAAUAUUGGAAUAUUCUUUCUCUAAAAAUGUUACUUUUAGACAUUACUUUUGUCACCUUGAUUGUUGACACUCUUCUCUUAAGACAUUUGCUGUUAUGCAUUGCAAGAAGAGUUUGUUGCUGAUUAGCUAUUUCAAAGUCUUGAAAAGUUCAGGAGAUGGCUGGUUCAUGGAGAUGAAGGGUCUAUAAUUGGGAUUGUAAUAUUUGGAGAGUGGCUCUGCUGUGCAUUGUGUGCAUUUUUAGAGGGAAGUGAUAAUCAUAUUAUUUAGACACUACUUUGUCUUAUUUAGAUCUAAAAUAUAAGGUUCAAAGAACAUGAACACUCUAUAGGAUCAAUUUAUGAUUUACUGGACAACAUCAUAUAUGUAAAAGGCUAAUAUACUGGCUGACAUCUUCCAGAAUGUUUGGGAGAUAACUUAUUGUAGAUAUAAACAAGUAAAAUGAUAAAAACGCAGAAGUUGAUUAACAGAUGCAAUUUGCUCAUAUCUACAGUUAUAUCAUUUAUAUGCUGGUGAAAUAUGGGUCAAAUUCAUAUUCAAAUUAACCUUGGAACUCCAUAUCCAUUAUUUUCCAUUGACUUUUACCAAUACCAACUAACAACACAAAUAUAUAUGUUUAUGUUUAUGUAGAUAAAGGAGACCAAUGUAUUCAAUUUAUACUAAUUAUUUUUGUAUGUUUGACCGAAUGAGGUUAUAGUUUGUCGAAGCUACUUUUCACUUUUUGGUCAACUUGAUUUGUAGAUUGUCUUUUUUGUCUUUUAGUUGAACUUCUUUCUUGAUGUAAUUUUUUAUCCAUAUCAGGGUUAAAAAAAUAAAAAUAAAAAUAAAAAAAAGAGGAAGAAGAAGAAGAAAAGGAUAAAGAGAGUUGCUUAGUUUCUUUCUGUAAAAUUCCUUUUUACCAUUGACUGCUGAGUUAUUAAUAGUUUAUUCCAGGUUGUGGACCUUUACCAACUUCUCCUACCUGCCAUUAUAGGCAAGGAAUUGUUUUUGCAACGGUAUGGGUUAUGUGUUGGACUAUUCCAAAAUUAUAAAGUCAUUUAGGGGAAAAAAAAAAAAAAAAAAUUCCAAGUAUUUCUUUUCAUCCUUUUAGUUAAAUAAAACGACCCUGCAUUUUUGAGUUUUAGAAGAGUUUAUUAAAGUUCCUAAUUAUUUGGGGUGCAUUUUAGGCUGGUUCUGCUUCCUAUUUGUUAGCCUCUUUGCUAUACAUCUAUACUCUUCCUAGAGUCAUUUAUAGAAAGAUAUAAGUUUUGGUUUGGCAAAUCCUCUAAUCCUCACAUAGACGUAUACUUUUUUUGUGUUCAAUGGACCUUGCGAAAGAGCUAUGAAGGUUGGUUUGAGUUCCUGAAUAUCAGUAGUGACACUCGAAUUAUCAGGUUUGGAACUCAUGUAGCUUUGGAGAAAAAAACUGAUGGAUCAUAAAAGUUUGAGGAAAUUUUCUGUUGAUAUGCUUGUAUCUCUUCAUGCCUUGUGAGAAAAGCUAUGAUAUGGAGCAAAGUUUUGAGCGUUAUUGAGAGUUAUCUAAAAUUUCUUGUUCCUCAGAAAAUUGUACAAAAUUUGGAUGCUAAACUACUGUUAGAUAUCAAUACCUCCAUCCUAGUCCAGGCUACUUCUCAAGAUGCAAAAAUGAUGUUUAAGUCUGCAUUAGACAUUCUUCUUUUCCUAAGCUAGCUUGCGAACAACAGUGGGCAGGUAGGAUUUUUUGUUUUUAAUAAAUUAUAUUUUUCUUUGACAGAUUCCUUCAGUUUUUUUGUGGUUAAGAACAAAAGUUUUCAGUGAAUAAAGUAACCUAUUGGAAGAUAUUCAAUUCUUUUUCCAUGUUUUUCAUUGCGUGUGCGGUAUUAUUUUAUUGGUUAUACCUAAUAAUUCAUGCUUUCCCUUCUCCGUGGAAGAACAGCUUGAUGACUCCUUUUUUUUUUUUUUUUUUUCCUCCCCAAAACAUGACCACUUUUUUUGUAUUACUGGUUGUGAUUUGGUGAUCUAUUUUGCAUGAUAUAUCAUGUUUUGUCAUGGAUGUCAUUUCAAAGCUAUUUCGUUCUUGCCUCAAAUUGAUUUGUUUCGACUGGUUUACCAUAUAGGCUUAUUUCCUUUCCACUUUUUUUUGUUUGUUUGUUUGUUGUUGUUGUUCUUCCUUUUGUCCUUUAUUUUUCUUUUUGGCCAUCAAGAGUAUCAUUUAUCAAUUUAGAUUGUAGGUGGAUGAUGUUGGUAGCGAGGAUUGCUUACUUUUAAUGCUUUAUGGUGUGUUAUAUAUUUUUUUCUUCACUGUGUUUGUGUUUCAUUCUUUUUUUUUUUUUUUUUUUUUUUUUUUGGUUGAAGCUUUAUUAAUAAUAUUGUAAAUGCCAGAGGACUGAGAAAUCCUCAAAAGAUCAAGAACAUAACGAAAGAAAAGAAAAUUAAAUUUAAAACUGUUAUGCAUCAUAAUAUGAAAUAUGUAAGUUAUGCAUCAUAACAGAUAAUUGUUAAAAUCAUUGCUCUCAAAAUUAAUGCCAUUCAUUCACCCCACAGAUUAAAGCCACUGCUUAUUGAACUUAUAAUAGAUAUUGAACUGAUUGAUCAGUUGUGCCUAAAAACUUGUUCCUUUUCUUCUGAUAUUAUUACUGUGCCAUCUAAACAGCUUCUUAACUACUUUUGAGAUUUUUAAUACAGGUGAGUUUGAUCUUGCAUCUCAAGCCAUUUAAAGAUCAACAUAUCACCUGAUAAUUUAUUCAAAAUACAACUUUGAGUUGGUUCCGGUGAUUCAUGAAAUCAUCUCUGAGUCACUUUUUGUUCAUUUCCUUGCCACCACAGCAUCUGAAUCAGCAAUAAUUGAAGAUUUCAGUUCCCAACUAUCACUUUUGUAGAUCGAUUCUUUGAGGUGGUCAGCUGCUUUUCAUCGGUUUAACUGACAAGGUGGAGCAUUCGGAUAUUUUAAUGAAGCCAAGCAUGUGUAAAUUGCUUUAUGCAUUUGAAAUGCAUCGACACAACUAGCAAAGAGCGUCAAGUUACAUAUACCAAUAUUAUGACCGUUUGAGAACAGAAGCAGCUGUGAGAGACUGCUAGCAUAGUUUGCUAGAUCUGCAAGGGCUCUCUGCUGCUAUCAAUGCUUUCCAUCUUGUUCAUCCUGCAUAGGCCUGGAUUGACUCCCUGCUUGAGAGACAUUCUGUUCAGGAUGAGCAUUAUCCAUUUAAAAUUGAUAGAGGAGCGGUGGAAGAAGAAUGUAAUUAAUACAGCAACCAAGAUUCUCUUGUUUUCGUUAUGUCUACAUGUUUCACUGUUUGCAUGAUUGCCCAUAUGAUUAUCUUGCACCCAUCAUGGAUAAAUUCCUAAUCUGAUUUUUGCAUUUGCAUAUUAACUCUGUUUUUGAGGCAAUAUAUUGCAUCUUCAUUGCAGCAUCAUGAACUGAUUUUCAGCCACUAAAGUUUUGCAUUUGUAUAUUGAUAUUGAGCAAAUUGAGAAUGAGUCUGUGCUGAGUUUGGCUGAAUAUUUGCCGUCACUGGCAUAUGUCAAAUGGAGAUUUACUGCUGAAACUCUCUCCCCUAUGUUAAAAUGACUUUGGAGCAAUCAGUUUUAUCAUCUAAUAUAUUUGAUUUUUAUUUUCCAAUAUGUUUUUGGGAUUCACAAAGUGCCCAUCAGAAUUGGUUGAUCUCCUGAUCUAGACAGACUUAUAUGAUAUGUGCAUUCACUGUUCUUUUAAAAUUUUUCAAAGGUUUAGAUUUGAAAAGGUGUGAUUCUAUGGUAUUAUUACAAAUAUCAUUAAAGUAAGUUAAUUAUCUUUUCUCUUGCCUGGAUGUAAAUUUAUUUUCAUCUUAUUGUCAGGGAACUGGAAAGAGUUUUCUAUGCUAUGUCAUUAAAAUGCUGUCCAAAUAAAGUAGAUUCUUUGCGGGCUGGGUAUCAUCAUAGAAAUUAUGGUUUUCUAUUGACUUCAUAAAAGGAUGAAGUUGUUCUUCAUAGUUCACCUUAUAUGGGUAAUACGUCUCAACAAUUUAGGGGGAAUUAGUCGAUGGGGAGCUCUUGAGCUUGUUUGCAUCUUUUCCAUGCUUUAAAAUAAUCUCUUCUUUAACUCUUACAAGUUUUUCUUUUCUGCUACAUGAUUUCUCUUCUUUGGAUUCAAUAGAUAACUUACUGAUAAAGUUUUCUGCAAUUUCCUUUCGUGGCAAAUAAUUGGGAUUAAAACAUCUACCUGUGCAUUGGACGGCUUGUAAACGCGUUCUAUGGUAUCUUCAAAGCAUAAAGCAUUGGUCUUCUCAUCCAACCUUCAAAGCUACUCAGAAUUUCAAGGUUCAUAGAUGCUGAUUAGGCAUCUAAUAUAGAUGAUCGCAAGUCCAUAGGAGGCUAUUAUAUAUAUAUAUAUAUAGGUGACUCUUUAGUCUCAUGGUCAUCAACAAAACAUAAUGUUGUUGCUCGUUCUAGCACACAGUUCGAAUACAGAUCUUUGGUGCAUGUUGCUGUAGAAAUUUCAUGGUUACAAUAGCUUUUACAUGAACUAAAGGUAUAUUCUCCAACAGUUCCUGUUCUUUGGUGCGAUAACAUGGGAGCAUGAUCUUUAGCUGCCAACCUGAUCUUCCAUCAACAUACUAAGCACAUUGAGGUAGAUGUACACUUGUUUAGGACAAAGUUGUCUUUAGAAGUACAGCAUGUUUCUACCAAAGAUCAAGUCAUUGAUAUUCUAGCCAAAGUUUUACCUGUUGCUACUUUUCAACAGCUUCAGACCAAGCUAAAGUGGCUCCACCCCAGUUUAGCUUGAGGGGGGAUGAUAACAUGGUAAUUGGUUUUGUUGAUGUGUCUUCGGAUAAAUUUCAAGAUAGAUGCUCAAACCUUCCUAAAGGAUAGUCUUCUAUCUAUUGUAUCAAUCUUAUAAUAAUACUACUAUAUAGAUAAUCGCAAGCUUAUCAAAUAAGUAUACAAAGAAUAUUGAUGCACCCACGAUCUUGUAUAUAUGCGUUUCAAUAAAUAUUUUGAAGGCAAGUCCUUAACUAUUUUACAUUCUAUUUAUUAUUCUCUCAAAAUCAUAAGAAGAGCAAUCUUAGUUUGACUUGUAAUAUUUUGUUAAUUAUUAAGAUGCUAUUUGUUGUUGUUAUUCGUUAGUUAAGUUGUCUCAAAUGUUAGUUAUUGCUAAUUAAUUUGUUAAAUAUCUCAAAUGAUUAUAAAGUUUAAGCCAAACAAAUUAUAAAAAAUUAAAAAAUUAAAAAAAAAUUGAAAAUUGUGUCAAAUUUGGUAUUUGUAAUUUUUUUUCUUCUAGUUUAAUUUAUAGUUAAUCGAGAUAUUUAAUAAUACUUAACUACUUUUAACUAAUACUGAAAAACAUUUGAUGUUAAUAAAUUACACACAAUUAGAUAAAAAAUAAUAAAAAUUAAAAAUUACAAACCAAUCAUGUAUGUUACCAAGCUGCAUCUACGAAUAUUUAAAUCUGAAAACAAAGAAGGUAUAAUUCAAAUAAAUAUUAAUGAUAUACAUACGAAAGGCAUACGAUCGGAUAGACUUUAAUUUAACAUUGAUAGCCAAAUUUUAUUUAUGGCCCAUAGUAGGUCACAUCCACUGGGCGUCCAAGUCAGUCACUAUAAUAGAGAUGGGACAGCGAUUUGUUAAAUUGGAUUGGUACCAUUAGAAGCAUCUAUUAAUGGGCCCACUUUAGUGGUCCAAUUUCUUAAGCCCAUUAGAUCCUGGGCUCCACCAUUUUUUUCAUCUCUUCAGAUAUAGCAUGAGUGGACCAUCUCAAAACUCUGACUGAUUCACUACAAUUAGAGCCACACGCUUUCUUAUAUUCUCUUUUCCUCUUAUUGUUCAUAAAGUUUUUCCUUUUUAUAUUUUAUAUUUUAUAUUUUAUUUUUUAGGUACUUCUCAUUUAUGCAUGACCAACUGACCAUGUCCUAUAUGUUUCAAAAUUGCAUACAUUUUUUUUUUUUUAAAAUAAGAAAUAUAAUCCAAAGAAGAAAGUAGCAGGGAGGACGAUGAUACUAUUUACAGUUUUUGUACCCUCAAACUACGUUUUCCAUCAGCUCUUUCUCUCUCUAGUAUGUUGACCAAAAUGUAAUUUAACAAAUACACAAAAUUACAUAUGUAGACAAAUUUUUUUUUUAAUAGAAUUACAUAUAACAUUAAAUUUGGGAAAAUUAUGAAUUAAAGAGUAUGAAAACUAUGUUUAAUUUUUGACAAAUUUUUGAUAAAAUCUGAUUGUUCGUAUAGGUUUGACCUAGUCAAUAAAUUAAAAGCAAUAAUGGUCAAAUAUACAACGGUGGAGGAUAUAUAUUAAGUCCAGUGUUAAUUAUUAUUGUUACUAAAAGUUUAGUUAAUAAUUCACCGUGUUAAUCACCAAAUAGAUAGAUUUUCUAGAGUACUUUUUAUGUUUUUAGCCAAACGCUGUAGAAUGCUUUUAUUUUAUUUUUAAAAUUUAGACAUUUAAAAAUAUCUUCCUAAAGGACAGACAAUGUCGCUAAAAUAUAAAAUAUUUCUGACAAGUUGUACCAUAAUGCAAUCAAUAAUAUUAGAGAAUACUGAAUUUUAAUUAUUAAAAUUUUGAAUGCAAUGUGAUAUUAUUUUAUACAAUUUU